GAUGAACGCUGGCGGCGUGCCUAAUACAUGCAAGUCGAGCGAACGGACGAGAAGCUUGCUUCUCUGAUGUUAGCGGCGGACGGGUGAGUAAAACGUGGAUAACCUAUCUAUAAGACUGGGAUAACUUCGGGAAACCGUAGCUAAUACCGGAUAAUAUUUUGAACCGCAUGGUUCAAAAGUGAAAGACGGUCUUGCUGUCACUUAUAGAUGGAUCCGCGCUGCAUUAGCUAGUUGGUAAGGUAACGGCUUACCAAGGCAACGAUGCAUAGCCGACCUGAGAGGGUGAUCGGCCACACUGGAACUGAGACACGGUCCAGACUCCUACGGGAGGCAGCAGUAGGGAAUCUUCCGCAAUGGGCGAAAGCCUGACGGAGCAACGCCGCGUGAGUGAUGAAGGUCUUCGGAUCGUAAAACUCUGUUAUUAGGGAAGAACAUAUGUGUAAGUAACUGUGCACAUCUUGACGGUACCUAAUCAGAAAGCCACGGCUAACUACGUG
rnacentral:rRNA from 1 species